rnacentral:misc_RNA from 1 species
GUGAAUCAUCAAAUUUUUGAACGCAAAUUGCACUUUCUGGUAUUCCGGAGAGUAUGCCUGUUUGAGUGUCAGUUAAAUAAAAAUCGGUUUUGGUUCUUCCUUUCGUGGUGACUCGGCGUAAUUGGGUCGUCUUACCUACGGUUAUGUGACUUAAGAUGGUUUCAUUAUUUUCGAACGUAUGUAAAUCGCUUUCGUGCGUU